rnacentral:tRNA from 1 species
GCCCGGAUGGUGGAAUGGUAGACACACAGGACUUAAAAUCCUGCGGCCAUUGCGGCUGUGCGGGUUCAAGUCCCGCUCCGGGUA